GAACCUGCCCAGUGAACAGUUUAACGGCCGCGGUACCCUGACCGUGCAAAGGUAGCAUAAUCAUUUGCCUUAUAAUUGAAGGCUUGUAUGAAUGGUCUGACGAAAGCAAUACUGUCUCUUCUUUAUUAUCUAGAAAUUAACCUAUGGGUGAAGAGGCCUAUAUUAUAUUGAAGGACAAGAAGACCCUGUCGAGCUUUAGAGUAAAGCAGGAAUAUAAGUAUUAAAAAAAAUCAAUGACUACAUAACUCUUUAGUUGGGGCGACUAAGGAACAAAUAAAGCUUCUUUUAGUUUUUUAGAUCAAUAAAUUUAGAUCCAGCAAAGCUGAUUAAAAGAAUUAGUUACCGCAGGGAUAACAGCAUAAUCUCCUUUGAGAGACCUAAUCGAAAGAGGGGGUUGUGACCUCGAUGUUGGACUAGAAUAUCCUGAAGAUGCAGACGUCUUCGAAGGUUGG
rnacentral:rRNA from 1 species